rnacentral:rRNA from 1 species
CAGUAGCCGCGGGAAUACGGAGGAUCCAAGCGUUAUCCGGAUUUAUUGGGUUUAAAGGGUGUGUAGGUGGCCUGUUAAGUCAGGGGUGAAAGACGGUAGCUCAACUAUCGCAGUGCCCUUGAUACUGAUGGGCUUGAAUGAACUAGAGGUAGGCGGAAUGUGACAAGUAGCGGUGAAAUGCAUAGAUAUGUCACAGAACACCAAUUGCGAAGGCAGCUUACUAUGGUUUUAUUGACACUGAGGCACGAAAGCGUGGGGAUCAAACAGGAUUAGAUACCCGUGUAGUCCCUGUCUCUUAUAC